rnacentral:rRNA from 1 species
UACGAAGGGGGGCUAGCGUUGCUCGGAAUCACUGGGCGUAAAGGGUGCGUAGGCGGGUUUUUAAGUCAGGGGUGAAAUCCUGGAGCUCAACUCCAGAACUGCCUUUGAUACUGAAGAUCUUGAGUUCGGGAGAGGUGAGUGGAACUGCGAGUGUAGAGGUGAAAAUUCGUAGAGAUUCGCAAGAACACCAGUGGCGAAGGCGGCUCACUGGCCCGAUACUGCGCUGAGGCACGAAAGCGUGGGGGAGCAAACAGG